rnacentral:rRNA from 1 species
AUUGAACGCUGGCGGCAUGCUUUACACAUGCAAGUCGAACGGUAACAGCACUUCGGUGGCUGACGAGUGGCGAACGGGUGCGUAAUACAUCGGAACGUGCCUAGUAGUGGGGGAUAACUACUCGAAAGAGUAGCUAAUACCGCAUAAGAUCUAAGGAUGACAGCAGGGGACCUUCGGGCCUUGCGCUACUAGAGCGGCUGAUGGCAGAUUAGGUAGUUGGUGGGAUAAAAGCUCACCAAGCCGACGAUCUGUAGCUGGUCUGAGAGGACGACCAGCCACACUGGGACUGAGACACGGCCCAGACUCCUACGGGAGGCAGCAGUGGGGAAUUUUGGACAAUGGGCGCAAGCCUGAUCCAGCAAUGCCGCGUGCAGGAUGAAGGCCUUCGGGUUGUAAACUGCUUUUGUACGGAAAGAAAAGCCCUCGUCUAAUACAGGAGGGUCAUGACGGUACCGAAAGAAUAAGCACCGGCUAACUACGUG